ACCUAACUGAACAAUUCCAGACAGGACGAAACGCGCGUCAUAGAU
rnacentral:hammerhead_ribozyme from 1 species